UAAACGGUUUUUUUUAAAACUACAUAUUCUAUGAUGUAUGGUAUC
rfam:Aedes aegypti strain Liverpool supercont1.1260 genomic scaffold, whole genome shotgun sequence.